GGCUCGGUAGCUUAUUUGGUAAAGCGCUCGUCUAGCAUACAAGAGUCCUGGGUUCGAAUCCCAGCCGAGCAA
rnacentral:tRNA from 1 species